rnacentral:rRNA from 1 species
UGGGGAAUAUUGCACAAUGGAGGGAACUCUGAUGCAGCGACGCCGCGUGAGUGAUGAAGGAAUUCGUUUCGUAAAACUCUGUUCUAUGGGAAGAAAAGGACUGUACCAUAGGAGAAAGCUCCGGCUAAAUACGUGCCAGCAGCCGCGGUAAUACGUAUGGAGCGAGCGUUGUCCGGAAUUAUUGGGCGUAAAGGGUGCGCAGGCGGCUUUACAAGUUGGAUGUGAAAUAUUGUGGCUCAACCACAAACGUGCAUCCAAAACUGCAAAGCUUGAGUUAAGGAGAGGUAAGUGGAAUUCCUGGUGUAGCGGUGGAAUGCGUAGAUAUCAGGAGGAAUACCGGUGGCGAAGGCGACUUACUGGACUAAAACUGACGCUCAGGCACGAAAGCGUGGGGAGCAAACAGG